rnacentral:rRNA from 1 species
GGAUACUAGCUGUUUGGGGUAUCGACCCCCUGAGUAGCGAAGCUAACGCGUUAAGUAUCCCGCCUGUGGAGUACGAUCGCAAGAUUAAAACAUAAAGGAAUUGACGGGGACCCGCACAAGCGGUGGAUCAUGUUCUUUAAUUCGAUGAUAACCGAUAAACCUUACCAGGUCUUGACAUCCUUGGAAUCUUUCAGAAAUGAGAGAGUGCUUUUUAAGAGCCAAGUGACAGGUGAUGCAUGGCUGUCGUCAG